rnacentral:rRNA from 1 species
GACGAACGCUGGCGGCGUGCCUAAUACAUGCAAGUAGAACGCUGAAGGCGGAGCUUGCUUCUCUGGAUGAGUUGCGAACGGGUGAGUAACGCGUAGGUAACCUGCCUGGUAGCGGGGGAUAACUAUUGGAAACGAUAGCUAAUACCGCAUAAUAGUAGAUGUUGCAUGACAUUUGCCUAAAAGGUGCAAUUGCAUCACUACCAGAUGGACCUGCGUUGUAUUAGCUAGUUGGUGGGGUAUCGGCUCACCAAGGCGACGAUACAUAGCCGACCUGAGAGGGUGAGCGGCCACACUGGGACUGAGACACGGCCCAGACUCCGACGGGAGGCAGCAGUAGGGAAUCUUCGGCAAUGGACGGAAGUCUGACCGAGCAACGCCGCGUGAGUGAAGAAGGUUGUCGGAUCGUAAAGCUCUGUUGUAAGAGAAGAACGAGUGUGAGAGUGGAAAGUUCACACUGUGACGGUAUCUUACCAGAAAGGGACGGCUAACUACGUG